rnacentral:tRNA from 1 species
AAACAAGAAGCUAUUGAGCGACUAAUUUCGACCUAGUUAUUUGGCAAACUAAUGCCCUUGUUUA